rnacentral:lncRNA from 1 species
AAAGAUUGUUAUUUAUGAGUUUUCAUGAUUUAUGUGAAUUGAGAUUUGAAGUUUAUGAUGUUGUUGAGUUUUAAUUCAUGUUUUGGUUACAAAGUUUCAAACUUUGGUCCUAGUAUGAGGUGAAUUUCAUGAUAUUCAUAAUAAACCCUACAAGAUGCGUGUUGAUUGAUGUAACCAUGUUAAUUAGGUGUAUUGAAUGUUGUAUGACCAAAGUAUGCUUCCCAUAUGUUUGAUAAAAUACUUCUGUGAAGGAAAUAGGGUCAUUAUAGCAUGUUGACAAGAAACCCCAAUUAUGUAUAAGUUCAUGCAUGCCAAGUGUUUGUUGAAAAGCCUUAGUGAAUGACUUUGAUAUGUUACAUGCAUUCCUAUUCAUGAGUAUUCCUUAUUGAAUAAGUUAUGAGACCACAACAUGCCUCUCUAUACUAUUACACAUUUAAGACCUCCAAGUUAUGAGACCACAACAUGCCUCUCUAUACUAUUACACGUUUAAGACCUCCAAGUUCUUGAAGAAGUCGCCUCAUUGAUUGUAUUGUGAAUGAUAGACUAUUGCCAUGUUAUGUACGAGUUGUCAUGUCUUGUAUUAUUUAUGUUAUCGAGUCCUGGGGGUAUUUAUACCCGAUAAUUUAGCUGAUUGUUUAGAGCCAGUGUCAGUUUUCUAGAUAAUCUCAGUCAUGACAAUCAGUAGAACUCAGACAGUUACAAAACUUAGGAAAUCUCAAUGAUCUCAGUAUCAGUAGCAUUCCAGCUUCAGUUCAGUAAUUAAUUCAGAACUCAGUAGUAUUCUAUUAGUUAGCGGAACCAAGUGAACUCAGUUUAGCUCAGUUAAUCAGUACAAUCAGUAACAGAUUCAGCGCAGCCUAGUACAGUUUAAGAAUCAGUUCAGAGUCUUUCAGUUGGAAGUAGAAUUCAGCACUGAGCGAGCCUAGGGAUGGGAGCUCACCCGUUAGAUAGGAUUGGGAUCCCUAGAAGCAAUCCCUAAGCUCCAGAACUACAUAGCCAGCAUAGGUACGAGAUGUCACCCAUUAGAUAGGACUGACAUACUCAGGGAUCACCCGCUAGUACAGGACUGAUCUCAGGGGUCGCCCGCUAGAUUAGAAAUGAACCCAUAGCAGUUGUCCUUACCCAUGGCACGGUACUGACACCCUUCUAGCUGCGGUUACAGGUUGGACCCCACUAGUUCAGAUUCGGGGCAUGUUGGUUAGAUGAAUACUUCCCACAAUCUCAGUUUCAGUCUCAGUCUUCAGAAUAGAACUCAGAUCAAGAUUGUAGAAAUGAGGACUGUCAGAUACAGUCACUCAGCUCAGUAAAGAACUUCGAUAGUUCCAAAGAUUUAGAGAUCACCCGUUAGAUAGGCUUGAUCUCAUAUUCAGUCAAUCAUAUUCACUAUCAGUAGAUUCAGAAAUUACCCGCUAGAUAGGCCUGAUCUCAGAUAUAAUUGAGGACUAUCAGUAACCUCAGAUAUCAGUUAUCAGUAGACCCAGU